rnacentral:rRNA from 1 species
AUUGAACGCUGGCGGCAUGCCUUACACAUGCAAGUCGAACGGUAACAGGGAGCUUGCUCCGCUGACGAGUGGCGAACGGGUGAGUAAUGUAUCGGAACGUACCUUUUAGUGGGGGAUAACGUAGCGAAAGUUACGCUAAUACCGCAUAUUCUCUGAGGAGGAAAGCAGGGGACCUUCGGGCCUUGCGCUAAUAGAGCGGCUGAUAUCAGAUUAGCUAGUUGGUGAGGUAAAGGUUCACCAAGGCGACGAUCUGUAGCGGUGCUGAGCGGAUGAUCCGCCAGACUGGAACUGAGACACGAUCCAGGCUCCUACGGGAGGCAGCGGUGGGGAAUUUUGGACAAUGGGGGCAACCCUGAUCCAGCCAUGCCGCGUGAGUGAAGAAGGCCUUCGGGUUGUAAAGCUCUUUCGGCCGGGAAAAAAUCGCAUGGGCUAAUACCCUGUGUGGAUGAUGGUACCGGAAUAAGAAGCACCGGCUAACUACGUGCCAGCCGCCGCGGUAAUAC